rnacentral:tRNA from 1 species
UACUUGAAAGCUUUAAAAGCCUUGGAUUUUUAAUCCAAUCAAAAUAUAUUAUAUUUCUUGUAA